UAUAAAAGUAAUCUUUCUGAGUUUAAGUUCUAUGCUGUGAUUAUACAAAAAGAUAGUUUCAUAAUCGGUUAUUUAUAGAGUAAUUAUAGGGAACAACACCAAGGGUUGUGGUGAGAUGAGUAUGAUCCCUCCACCCUUAACUAGAGGUCUCUGAUUCGAGCGUUGAGAAUGAAAAAACACUUGGUAUGUGGCGCUUUCCCUUAAUUUGCCUUACGCGGCGUGAGCUCGGAUUAGUCGAAGCUCCAAUAUGUGUACUGAAUAUUAACCGGGGGAACUUUUAAGGGAACAUUUUUAAAUCUAUGUGCAAUAUCAAUGGCUAUAAAGAAAGCUUGAAAAUCUUAAAGUUGCAGAUUUAGACGGGGCAACAUGUUCUUAUGUAGUUCAAAGAUUCUGGAAAUGGAUGUGUUCUGUUGCUACAUUA